rnacentral:rRNA from 1 species
UGGGGAAUAUUGCGCAAUGGGGGCAACCCUGACGCAGCAACGCCGCGUGAUUGAAGAAGGCCUUCGGGUUGUAAAGAUCUUUAAUCAGGGACGAAUAAUGACGGUACCUGAAGAAUAAGCUCCGGCUAACUACGUGCCAGCAGCCGCGGUAAUACGUAGGGAGCAAGCGUUAUCCGGAUUUACUGGGUGUAAAGGGCGAGUAGGCGGGCUGGCAAGUUGGAAGUGAAAUCUCGGGGCUUAACCCCGAAACUGCUUUCAAAACUGCUGGUCUUGAGUGAUGGAGAGGCAGGCGGAAUUCCCAGUGUAGCGGUGAAAUGCGUAGAUAUUGGGAGGAACACCAGUGGCGAAGGCGGCCUGCUGGACAUUAACUGACGCUGAGGAGCGAAAGCGUGGGGAGCAAACA